ensembl:lincRNA
UGCUAACAUAACCUGAAGUCCGGCCCAUUUUGUACAUUUUUUUAAGCCAAGGAGGAGGGUGUUGGAUUAAUUCUAGCCAUUGAUUAAUGUAUGGAAAUUGAUUGGGGUGGCCCGGGGACCCUGUCACAAUGUCCCAGACAGCCUGAGUUAUCUUGGGGUUGUAUGUCCCCGUAUCUGGCCAGCCUACCCUAAAGGCUGGCCACUCCAAUUCACAGAGAGUCCGAAGCCUUUGUAGGGUUAGUUUAACCCCAUACUGGCCAGAGAACCCUGUUUUAAAAUUUGCCGUCAUGCACCGGAGGGGGUGCAUGGUCGGGACUGUGACGAGCCCAGUUAGUUUUUUUUUUCUCUCUCUCUCUUUCUUUUCUCUCUCGGGGUCCUGGAACCCGUAUUAGCUAUUUUUUUUUGUUCGUUUCUUUGUUUUAAGCCAACUCAAAUGGAAAAGUUCUGUUGCAGAGAGCCAAUUUUAACUGCGCUAACAAGUCACUUGCAUUAUAAAGGGUUGGAAAGCUUUUUAAAGCCAGAUUCGGGAUGCAAAUGCUGCACCCUGAGGCGGUGUGGCCUGCCUCACACCCAGGUGGGGCUCCCGGCUGACAGGAGAGAAAGAAAAAAAUGCUUUUUGUGUCAGUUUAAAAUGGAGCUUGCAGCCCCUAGGCCAGCUGCGAGAUUCCCGCCCCUGUGGCUUUUUGGUCACCUUGACACAGGGACCCUAAAAACAUUAAAUCCCUCUUUUCCCUCCUGUCUCUCUCCUCUCCCCUCUGUUUCCUUUCCCCUUCCCUCUCUUCUCUCUCUUUCUCCCUCUCUCCUCUCUGUCUCUUUUCUCCUCUCUACUCUCUCCUCUCUCUCUCCUCUCUGUCUCUUUUCUCCGCUCCUCUCUCUCUCCCUCUCUCUCCUGUCUCUUUUCUCCUCUCCUCUCUCUCUCCCUCUCUCUCCUCUUUUCUCCUCUCCUCUACUCUCUCCUCUCUCUCUCUCCCUCUCUCUCUCCUGUCUCUUUUCUUCUCUCCUCUACUCUCUCCUCGCUCUCUCUCCCUCUCUCUCUCCCCUCUGUCUCUUUUCUCCUCUCCUCUCUCUCUCUCUCUCCUGUCUCUUUUCUCCUCUCCUCUCUCCUCUCUCCUCUUUUCUCCUCUCCUCUCCCUCUCCCUCUCCCUCUCUUCUCUGUCUCUUUUCUCCUCUCCUCUCUCUCUCUCCUCUCUCUUUUCUCCUCUCCUCUCUCUCUCCCUCUCUCCUCUCUCUUUUCUCCUCUCCUCUCUCUCUCUCCCUCUCUCUCUCCUGUCUCUUUUCUCCUCUCCUCUCUCUCUCUCUCCCUCCUCUCCUGUCUCUUUUCUCCUCUCCUCUCUCUCUCUCUCCCUCUCUCUCUCCUGUCUCUUUUCUCCUCUCCUCUACUCUCUCCUCUCUCUCUCUCCCUCUCUCUCUCCUCUCUGUCUCUUUUCUCCUCUCUCUCUCCUCUCUCUUUUCUCCUCUCCUCUCUCUCCCUCUCUCUCUUCUCUGUCUCUUUUCUCCUCUCCUCUCUCUCUCCUCUCUCUUUUCUCCUCUUCUCUCUCUCCCUCCCUCUCUCUCCUCUCUGUCUCUUUUCUCCUCUCCUCUCUCUCUCUCCCUCUCUCUCCUGUCUCUUUUCUCCUCUCCUCUCCUCUCUCUCUCCCUCUCUCUCUCCUGUCUCUUUUCUCCCUGUCUCUUAUACACAUCUAGAUGUGUAUAAGAGACAGGCCUCAA